rnacentral:rRNA from 1 species
GGGGAGCUAUACAUGCAAGUCGAGCGAGCAAUUUUAACAGAAGGCCUUCGGGCUGGAAGCUAAAAGCGCGAGCGGCGGAUGGGUGAGUAACACGUGGGCAACCUGCCCUUUAGCUUGGGAUACCACUUGGAAACAGGUGCUAAUACCAAAUAAGAAGCAAGAGCGCAUGCUCAAGCUAUGAAAGGCGGCUUUCGAGCUGUCACUAAAGGAUGGGCCCGCGGUGCAUUAGCUAGUUGGUAAGGUAACGGCUUACCAAGGCAAUGAUGCAUAGCCGAGUUGAGAGACUGAUCGGCCACAUUGGGACUGAGACACGGCCCAAACUCCUACGGGAGGCAGCAGUAGGGAAUCUUCCACAAUGGACGCAAGUCUGAUGGAGCAACGCCGCGUGAGUGAAGAAGGUUUUCGGAUCGUAAAGCUCUGUUGUUGGUGAAGAAGGAUGUGAAUAGUAACUGAUUCAUAUUUGACGGUAAUCAACCAGAAAGUCACGGCUAACUACGUGCCAGCAGCCGCGGUAAUACGUAGGUGGCAAGCGUUGUCCGGAUUUAUUGGGCGUAAAGCGAACGCAGGCGGGAGAACAAGUCAGCUGUGAAAGCCCUCGGCUUAACCGGGGAAGUGCAGCUGAAACUGUUUUUCUUGAGUGCAGAAGAGGAGAGUGGAACUCCAUGUGUAGCGGUGGAAUGCGUAGAUAUAUGGAAGAACACCAGUGGCGAAGGCGGCUCUCUGGUCUGUAACUGACGCUGAGGUUCGAAAGCAUGGGUAGCGAACAGGAUUAGAUACCCUGGUAGUCCAUGCCGUAAACGAUGAGUGCUAAGUGUUGGGAGGUUUCCGCCUCUCAGUGCUGCAGCUAACGCAUUAAGCACUCCGCCUGGGGAGUACGACCGCAAGGUUAAAACUCAAAGGAAUUGACGGGGGCCCGCACAAGCGGUGGAGCAUGUGGUUUAAUUCGAAGCAACGCGAAAAACCUUACCAGGUUCUUGACAUCUAGUGCCAGUCCUAGAGAAUAGGAUUUUCCCUUCGGGGACCACUAAGACAGGGUGGGUGCAUUGGCUUUCGUCAGCUUCGUGUCGCNGAGAAUGUUUGGGUUUAAGGUCNCCNCAACNAGNNNNCAACNCCNUUNNAUUANUNUAGNUNUGGCCNAAGNCNNUNU